rnacentral:piRNA from 1 species
UAGCCAGCCCAUGUCAAAGGGCUCACC